AUUGAACGCUGGCGGCAGGCCUAACACAUGCAAGUCGAACGGUAACAGGAAGAAGCUUGCUUCUUUGCUGACGAGUGGCGGACGGGUGAGUAAUGCCUGGGAAACUGCCUGAUGGAGGGGGAUAACUACUGGAAACGGUAGCUAAUACCGCAUAACGUCGCAAGACCAAAAAGGGGGACCUUCGGGCCUCUUGCCAUCGGAUGUGCCCAGAUGGGAUUAGCUAGUAGGUGGGGUAACGGCUCACCUAGGCGACGAUCCCUAGCUGGUCUGAGAGGAUGACCAGCCACACUGGAACUGAGACACGGUCCAGACUCCUACGGGAGGCAGCAGUGGGGAAUAUUGCACAAUGGGCGCAAGCCUGAUGCAGCCAGGCCGCGUGUAUGAAGAAGGCCUUCGGGUUGUAAAGUACUUUCAGCGGGGAGGAAGGGAGUAAAGUUAAUACCUUUGCUCAUUGACGUUACCCGCAGAAGAAGCACCGGCUAACUCCGUG
rnacentral:rRNA from 1 species